rnacentral:misc_RNA from 1 species
AAGCAUCCCAAGGUUUGAGGUCACAAAUCGACUGGUUAACCCAAGAUUGGUACUUUAAUACGAAGCCUUUCAUAAGAUCUUUUAAUUCAAAAGUGAGGAGAACUUUAUCUCCACCUAAAGGAAUGACUUGAACAUAGAGAACACCUUGUGCCAAUAAAUAAUCUUACAGAUUUGAGAUUGAAUAAACAUUACACAAAGUAAAUAUAGAGGAUCAAGAGAGCCAACCCAUAUUAUUUUCAAGUACAAAAUUAGGGAUGAUACACUCCCG